rnacentral:rRNA from 1 species
UUGAAAGGGAAACGAUUGAAGUCAGUCGUACUGAUGGGAAAUCGACUUCUCGAGUUCUUGUCGUGGAUGUCGUUGAGCUUCACGAUCUUCGUUGCUUACGAUAUGGUGCUUUUUAGAUGUACUUUCCGUAUGGUAGGUCAACAUCGAUUUUGAUCGUCAUAAAAUGAUCGGAGGAAUGUGGCUCUGAUCUCGUAUCGGAGUGUUAUAGCCUUUGGGAGAUGUGACGAUUGGGAUCGAGGGUUGCAACGAAUUACCUUUUGGGCUAUCCGUCUGACCUCUGAAAGUUACUUGGGUGCCGAAAGCUUGCUUACGGUCAUUUAAGUUGACGGUCAAUAGGUUAGAACGUGAUUACAUUCGUUAAGGAUGUUGACGUA